rnacentral:rRNA from 1 species
GUGGGGAAUUUUGGACAAUGGGCGCAAGCCUGAUCCAGCAAUGCCGCGUGCAGGAAGAAGGCCUUCGGGUUGUAAACUGCUUUUGUACGGAACGAAACGGUCCGGGUUAAUACCCUGGGCUAAUGACGGUACCGUAAGAAUAAGCACCGGCUAACUACGUGCCAGCAGCCGCGGUAAUACGUAGGGUGCAAGCGUUAAUCGGAAUUACUGGGCGUAAAGCGUGCGCAGGCGGUUUUGUAAGUCAGGCGUUAAAUCCCCGGGCUCAACCUGGGAAUUGGGCUUGGGACUGGAAGGCUGGAGUGCGGCAGAGGGGGAUGGAAUUCCGCGGGUAGCAGUGAAAUGCGUAGAUAUGCGGAGGAACACCGAUGGCGAAGGCAAUCCCCUGGGCCUGCACUGACGCUCAUGCACGAAAGCGUGGGGAGCAAACAGGAUUAGAAACCCUGGUAGUCC